rnacentral:rRNA from 1 species
UACGUAGGGUGCAAGCGUUGUCCGGAAUUAUUGGGCGUAAAGAGCUCGUAGGUGGUUUGUCGCGUUGUUCGUGAAAACUCACAGCUUAACUGUGGGCGUGCGGGCGAUACGGGCAGACUGGAGUACUGCAGGGGAGACUGGAAUUCCUGGUGUAGCGGUGGAAUGCGCAGAUAUCAGGAGGAACACCAAUGGCGAAAGCAGGUAACUGGACUAUUACUGACACUCGAACUGCGAAAGCUAGGGGAGCAAACAGG